CUGGAGAGCAUGAUCAAGAAACC
rnacentral:piRNA from 1 species